GUAAAAGAAAAAAUUACAAGUUGUUCUUUGGCUUUUUAUAGCCGAAUUACAACAUAUUAUUUUUGUUUUCUUCUUUUCUGUCUCUUUGCUUCUAUUUCUCUAUUUUCUGUAGGUGGUGGCGGCAAGGACGAGGUGACAGUGUCAGGCUUUAGAUGGCAUGCCUGCUGAUGUGGCGAGGGGAGCGGCGUUUGGAGACUUCAGGGGGAGCUAAGGUUCUGAACUUUUUUUAAUGUUUUGGGCUUUAAGGCUUAGGUAAAUUAGGUCUUCGGGUUUUCUAUUUGGGCUUGUAACGGACUGAACUCUUAAUUAAUUGACUUGUUUUUUUUUAUUUGUUAUUUUUGGUUGGGCUGGAUAAAAAUGGGCUUCUACAGUUGCCUCUCUUUGCUCAUUUUCGUUUAACGAGAAGGGAGUAAAAACCUUAAUGGAGGACCAAUUUUAUCCGGUCGCUGCAUCUCGAUUUCUCUGGAGCUUCUCUUUUUUAGGUAACCCACUUUUUCAAUUCCUUGGUUACUCUACUCCAUUAUAUUCACUUCGCUACAACUUUAGUUAGAC
rnacentral:lncRNA from 1 species